GCCCGAAUCCUGACACAGGGAGGUAGUGACAAGAAAUAACAAUACAGGGCUACUUCUAGUCUUGUAAUUGGAAUGAGUACAACUUACAUCUCUUCACGAGGAUCAAUUGGAGGGCAAGUCUGGUGCCAGCAGCCGCGGUAAUUCCAGCUCCAAUAGCGUAUAUUAAAGUUGUUGCAGUUAAAAAGCUCGUAGUCGGAUUUCGGGUCGGGCCGAGCGGUCUGCCGAUGGGUAUGCACUGUUCGGCGCGGCCUUCUUUCCGGAGACCGCGGCUACUCUUAACUGAGCGGGCGUGGGAGACGGAUCGUUUACUUUGAAAAAAUCAGAGUGUUUCAAGCAGGCAGCUCGCUCUUGCAUGGAUUAGCAUGGGAUAAUGAAAUAGGACUCUGGUGCUAUUUUGUUGGUUUCGAACACCGGAGUAAUGAUUAACAGGGACAGUCAGGGGCACUCGUAUUCCGUCGAGAGAGGUGAAAUUCUCAGACCAAUGGAAGACGAACCACUGCGAAAGCAUUUGCCAGGGAUGUUUUCACUGAUCAAGAACGAAAGUUAGGGGAUCGAAGACGAUCAGAUACCGUCGUAGUCUUAACCAUAAACCAUGCCGACUAGGGAUUGGAGGGUGUUCGUUUUGACCUCUUCAGCGCCUUACGGGAAACUAAAGUCUUUGGGUUCCGGGGGGAGUAUGGUCGCAAGGCUGAAACUUAAAGGAAUUGACGGAAGGGCACCACCAGGAGUGGAGCCUGCGGCUUAAUUUGACUCAACACGGGGAAACUUACCAGGUCCAGACAUUGGAAGGAUUGACAGAU
rnacentral:rRNA from 1 species